rnacentral:rRNA from 1 species
GAUUGAACGCUGGCGGCAGGCCUAACACAUGCAAGUCGAGCGGAUGAAGGGAGCUUGCUCCUGGAUUCAGCGGCGGACGGGUGAGUAAUGCCUAGGAAUCUGCCUGGUAGUGGGGGAUAACGUCCGGAAACGGGCGCUAAUACCGCAUACGUCCUGAGGGAGAAAGUGGGGGAUCUUCGGACCUCACGCUAUCAGAUGAGCCUAGGUCGGAUUAGCUAGUUGGUGGGGUAAAGGCCUACCAAGGCGACGAUCCGUAACUGGUCUGAGAGGAUGAUCAGUCACACUGGAACUGAGACACGGUCCAGACUCCUACGGGAGGCAGCAGUGGGGAAUAUUGGACAAUGGGCGAAAGCCUGAUCCAGCCAUGCCGCGUGUGUGAAGAAGGUCUUCGGAUUGUAAAGCACUUUAAGUUGGGAGGAAGGGCAGUAAGUUAAUACCUUGCUGUUUUGACGUUACCAACAUAAUAAGCACCGGCUAACUUCGUG